ACGGGUGAGUAACGCGUGGGAAUCUACCGUACCCUACGGAAUAGCUCUGGGAAACUGGAAGUAAUACCGUAUACGCCCUAACGGGGAAAGAUUUAUUGGGGUAUGAUGAGCCCGCGUUGGAUUAGCUAGUUGGUGGGGUAAAGGCCUACCAAGGCGACGAUCCAUAGCUGGUCUGAGAGGAUGAUCAGCCACAUUGGGACUGAGACACGGCCCAAACUCCUACGGGAGGCAGCAGUGGGGAAUAUUGGACAAUGGGGGCAACCCUGAUCCAGCCAUGCCGCGUGAGUGAUGAAGGUCUUAGGAUUGUAAAGCUCUUUCAACGGUGAAGAUAAUGACGGUAACCGUAGAAGAAGCCCCGGCUAACUUCGUGCCAGCAGCCGCGGUAAUACGAAGGGGGCUAGCGUUGUUCGGAAUUACUGGGCGUAAAGCGCACGUAGGCGGGUAUUUAAGUCAGGGGUGAAAUCCCGCAGCUCAACUGCGGAACUGCCUUUGAUACUGGGUAUCUUGAGUAUGGAAGAGGUAAGUGGAAUUGCGAGU
rnacentral:rRNA from 1 species